UUUCUCAGCAGCACACAGCUGGUGACUGGCAGGUCAGAAGUCAUCUCCAAGGCAGGGGACUGCGACACCUCUUCUUCAUGAAUAUCUUUUUGUUUUGACUCCAACUACUAAAGUCCGUAUCUGCUCAGAGGUGUGUUAAGUCUUUCUGGAGGAGACAACUCAGCCUGGUUGGAUCUGAGCAGUCGAACUGGCUGCUCUAUGUGUGUCAGCACAACAGUGCUGACUGUGGGAAUAUACUGGGAAACAUCCUGAUCUUUCUGAAUCUGCUCCCAAAAACCUGGUUGUCAGGUUGUUAGGGUGCCCAGGUUAGACACUAUUAUCUCUGUAUCUCUUGGUGAGCAGCUGUCAAUCUUCUAGGAACCCAGAAUAGAAUAAAACAAAAGUGGUUG
rnacentral:lncRNA from 1 species